rnacentral:rRNA from 1 species
AUUGAACGCUGGCGGAAUGCUUUACACAUGCAAGUCGAACGAUGAACCUUAGCUUGCUAAGGGGAUUAGUGGCGAACGGGUGAGUAAUGUAUCGGAACGUAUCCAAUAAUGGGGGAUAACUAGUCGAAAGAUUAGCUAAUACCGCAUACGUCCUACGGGAGAAAGCUAGGGACCUUCGGGCCUGGCGUUAAUGGAGCGGCCGAUAUCUGAUUAGCUAGUUGGUGGGGUAAAGGCUCACCAAGGCGACGAUCAGUAGCUGGUCUGAGAGGACGACCAGCCACCCUGGAACUGAGACACGGUCCAGACUCCUACGGGAGGCGGCAGUGGGGAAUUUUGGACAAUGGGCGAAAGCCUGAUCCAGCCAUUCCGCGUGAGUGAAGAAGGCCUUCGGGUUGUAAAGCUCUUUCGCAAGGGAAGAAAACUUAAGCUCUAACAUAGCUUGAGGUUGACGGUACCUUGAUAAGAAGCACCGGCUAACUACGUGCCAGCCGCCGCGGUAA